rnacentral:rRNA from 1 species
GAUCAUGGCUCAGAUUGAACGCUGGCGGAACGCUUUACACAUGCAAGUCGAACGGUAACGCAGGGAGAAGCUUGCUUCUCCCCGGCGACGAGUGGCGAACGGGUGAGUAAUACAUCGGAACGUGUCCGCUCGUGGGGGACAACCAGCCGAAAGGUUGGCUAAUACCGCAUGAGUUCUACGAAGAAAGAGGGGACCCGGCAAGGGCCGUCUCGCGAGCGGAGCGGCCGGAUGACUGAUUAGCCGGUUGGGUGGAGGG